UACGUAGGGGGCGAGCGUUGUCCGGAUUUAUUGGGCGUAAAGAGCGUGUAGGCGGCCCGGUAAGUCCGCUGUGAAAGUCGGGGGGCUCAACCCUCGAAAGCCGGUGGAUACUGUCGGGCUCGAGUGCGGAAGAGGCGAGUGGAAUUCCUGGUGUAGCGGUGAAAUGCGCAGAUAUCAGGAAGAACACCCGUGGCGAAGGCGGCUCUCUGGGACGUGACUGACGCUGAGGCGCGAAAGCUAGGGGAGCGAACAGG
rnacentral:rRNA from 1 species